UGGUUGCUAGGUGGUUGCUAAGGUGUUGCUAGAUGGUUGCUAAGGUGUUGCUAUGGUAUCCGGGGUGGUUGCUAAGGUGUUGCUAGGUGGUUGCUAGGCGGUUGCUAAGGUGUUGCUAUGGUAUCCGAGGUGGUUGCUAAAUGGUUACUAGGCAGUUGCUAACGUAUUCCACAUGGUUGCUAAGUGGUUGCUAGGCACUUGCUAAUGUUUUCCAGGUGGUUGCUAAGGUGUAUCUAACUGGUUGCUAGGCAGUUGCUAAUAUUUCUAAAGUGGUUGCUAAGCAGUUGCUAGGCAGUUGCUAACAUUUUCCAGGUGGUUGCUAAGGUGUUGCUAACUGGUUGCUAGGCAGUUGCUAACAUAUUCCAGAUGGUUGCUGAGCGGUUGUGAUCAUUUCUAAAGUGGUUGCUAGGCAGUUGCUAAUGUUUACCAGGUGGUUGCUAAGGUGUUGAUAACUGGUUGCUAGGUUGUUGCUAUCAUUUCUAAAAUGUUUGAAGUAGAGAAAAAGAGAGAGUGUUAAAUGUAGAAGUACAGAAAAAGGGAGAGCAAGAAAUAAAGAAGUAGGGAGAAAAUUGCGAGAAAAAGAGAAAGAACACGCGAGAAUGUGAGAAAAAGAGUGACAAGUUGAGAGAAAUAUUGAGCGAGAAAAAGAGAAUUACAGAAAAAGGGACAUCGAGAAAUAAAGAAGUAGAGAAAGAAAGAGGAAGUAGUAGAGAGAUAGAUAGAAAGAGAAAGCAAGACAUAGAAAAGUAGAGUGAAAGAGAAGUAGAGAGAAGAGCGAGAAAUCAAGAAAGAGUAAGAGAGAAUAGAGAAAUAGAAAAGUAGCGAGAAAGAGAAAUUGAGACGUAGAGAGAGAGAGUGAGAAAGAGAGAAAGAAAGAGUGAGAAAUAGAGAAGUAGAGAGUAAAAGAGAGAGUGAGAAAUAGAGACGUAGAGAGAGUGAGAAAGAGAGUGAGAAAUUCAGAAGUAGAGUGAGAAAGAGAGUGAGAAAUAGAGAAGUAGAGAGCAAAAGAGAGUGAGAAAUAGAGAA